GAUGAACGCUGGCGGCGUGCUUAACACAUGCAAGUCGAACGGAAAGGCUCCUGCUUGCAGGGGUACUCGAGUGGCGAACGGGUGAGUAACACGUGGGUGAUCUGCCCUGCACUUCGGGAUAAGCCUGGGAAACUGGGUCUAAUACCGGAUAGGACGAUGGUUUGGAUGCCAUUGUGGAAAGUUUUUUCGGUGUGGGAUGAGCUCGCGGCCUAUCAGCUUGUUGGUGGGGUAAUGGCCUACCAAGGCGUCGACGGGUAGCCGGCCUGAGGGGGUGUACGGCCACAUUGGGACUGAGAUACGGCCCAGACUCCUACGGGAGGCAGCAGUGGGGAAUAUUGCACAAUGGGCGCAAGCCUGAUGCAGCGACGCCGCGUGGGGGAUGACGGCCUUCGGGUUGUAAACUCCUUUCGCUAGGGACGAAGCGCAAGUGACGGUACCUGGAGAAGAAGCACCGGCUAACUACGUG
rnacentral:rRNA from 1 species